GAUGAACGCUGGCGGCGUGCCUAAUACAUGCAAGUCGAACGAGCUCUUCGGAGCUAGUGGCGGACGGGUGAGUAACACGUUGGUACCUACCCCGAAGUGGGGAAUAACUGGCCGAAAGGUCGGCUAAUACCGCAUAAUACCGCAAGGUUAAAGCAGUAAUGCGCUUCGGGAGGGGCCUGCGUCCCAUUAGCUUGUUGGUAGUGUAAUGGACUACCAAGGCGACGAUGGGUAGCUGGAUCGAGAGGUUGACCAGCCACACUGGGACUGAGAUACGGCCCAGACUCCUACGGGAGGCAGCAGUAAGGAAUCUUCCACAAUGGACGAAAGUCUGAUGGAGCAACGCCGCGUGCAGGAUGACGGUCUUCGGAUUGUAAACUGCUUUUAUAUGGGAAGAUUAUGACGGUACCAUAUGAAUAAGGACCGGCUAACUACGUGCCAGCCGCCGCCGUAAAAC
rnacentral:rRNA from 1 species